UACGGGAGGCAGCAGUGGGGAAUAUUGCACAAUGGGCGCAAGCCUGAUGCAGCCAUGCCGCGUGUAUGAAGAAGGCCUUCGGGUUGUAAAGUACUUUCAGUCGUGAGGAAGGUGUUAAGGUUAAUAACCUUAGCAAUUGACGUUAGCGACAGAAGAAGCACCGGCUAACUCCGUGCCAGCAGCCGCGGUAAUACGGAGGGUGCGAGCGUUAAUCGGAAUUACUGGGCGUAAAGGGCACGCAGGCGGUUAAUUAAGUUGGAUGUGAAAUCCCCGGGCUUAACCUGGGAAUGGCAUUCAAGACUGGUUAGCUAGAGUCUUGUAGAGGGGGUAGAAUUCCGAUGUGUAGCGGUGAAAUGCGUAGAGAUGUGGAGGAAUACCGGUGGCGAAGGCGGCCCCUGGACAAAGGCUGACGCUCAUGUGCGAAAGCGUGGGGAGCAAACGAGGGAUUAGAUA
rnacentral:rRNA from 1 species